GGACGGAGCUAUUAGAAAGGACUCCCAUGCUUUGCAAGCAGGGGGUCGCCGGUUCGAUCCCGGCCACGUCCACCA
rnacentral:tRNA from 2 species